rnacentral:rRNA from 1 species
UUGGCGGACGGGUGAGUAACGCGUGGGUAACCUGCCUCACACUGGGGGAUAACACUUAGAAAUAGGUGCUAAUACCGCAUAAGCGCACGGGACUGCAUGGUCUUGUGUGAAAAACUCCGGUGGUGUGAGAUGGACCCGCGUCUGAUUAGCUGGUUGGCGGGGUAACGGCCCACCAAGGCGACGAUCAGUAGCCGGACUGAGAGGUUGAACGGCCACAUUGGGACUGAGACACGGCCCAGACUCCUACGGAAGGCAGCAG